AUUGAACGCGGCGGGCAUGCUUUUAACUCGCAAGUCGAACGGCAGCACGGGCUUCGGCCUGGUGGGGAGUGGCGAACGGGUGAGUAAUAUAUCGGAACGUACCCAAGAGUGGGGGAUAACGUAGCGAAAGUUACGCUAAUACCGCAUACGAUCUAUGGAUGAAAGUGGGGGAUCGCAAGACCUCAUGCUCCUGGAGCGGCCGAUAUCUGAUUAGCUAGUUGGUGAGGUAAAGGCUCACCAAGGCGACGAUCAGUAGCUGGUCUGAGAGGACGACCAGCCACACUGGAACUGAGACACGGUCCAGACUCCUACGGGAGGCAGCAGUGGGGAAUUUUGGACAAUGGGCGCAAGCCUGAUCCAGCAAUGCCGCGUGAGUGAAGAAGGCCUUCGGGUUGUAAAGCUCUUUUGUCAGGGAAGAAACGGUGGGAGCUAAUAUCUCCUACUAAUGACGGUACCUGAAGAAUAAGCACCGGCUAACUACGUGCCAGCAGCCGCGGUAAUACGUAGGGUGCAAGCGUUAAUCGGAAUUACUGGGCGUAAAGCGUGCGCAGGCGGUUUUGUAAGUCUGACGUAAAAGCCCCGGGCUCAACCUGGGAAUUGCGUUGGAGACUGCAAGGCUUGAAUCUGGCAGAGGGGGGUAGAAUUCCACGUGUAGCAGUGAAAUGCGUAGAGAUGUGGAGGAACACCGAUGGCGAAGGCAGCCCCCUGGGUCAAGAUUGACGCUCAUGCACGAAAGCGUGGGGAGCAAACAGG
rnacentral:rRNA from 1 species